AAUUGUGGCUAGAAUACUGCUAUUCAACUAAGAAAUGAACCACUACCUAACCGUAAAACACAGGUAUAAACGAAACCUCUUACACUAAAAGCAAUUUGAACCCACGAAAGCUAAGAAACAAACUAGGAUUAGAUACCCUACUAUGCUUAGCUGUAAACAAGACACAAAACCAACAGAAGUGUCCGCCAGAGAACUACAAGCGAAAAGCUUAAAACUCAAAAGACUUGGCGGUGUCCCACACCCGACUUAGAGGAGCCUGUCCUAUAAUCGAUAAUCCACGAUAAACCCCACCACCUUUUGCCAAACCCGCCUAUAUACCGCCGUCGAAAACCUACCUUACAAAAGAACAACAGUAGGUACAACAGUUAAAACACUAAAACGUCAGGUCAAGGUGUAGCUAAUAAGGUGGAAGAGAUGGGCUACAUUCUUUAAAUUUAAAGCAAACAGAAAGAACCAUGAAAAAGGUUCCCAAAGGAGGAUUUA
rnacentral:rRNA from 1 species